UGGGCUGAAUCAUUCUUCGCCUAGCCCAUAAGGGUAUACUUGAUGAAACACGGUGUUUUCCAUUAGGUCAAGCGUGUUCGUCUCUUUCCCGUCUCUAGAGCUAAUGGCGAUUGGGGUUUCUAAUAUGCUCUUUCAUCUUUUUUUUUCACUGUCCGAAACGAUACAUGUAACAGAGUUAUCCUCUUUAAACACUCCAUUAAUGGAUCAUCCACAAUCUACUUUCAAUGCGAAUUUUUGUUAUGCAAGACGGUGGAUUUCGAUUAUAAAAUGAAUGGCCCCUACUCUUCCACCGUUGAAGGCCAGGAAUAUCCGCCGUGGUGGAGAUCUCAUGGGAGUAGACAUACUCCUUCUUGAUUCUCAGCAGGAACCAAAUCUCCGUGAAGAAGCAGCUUCAGCACUAUAUUGUCUACCGGAGAUGAAAAUAUUACGUGAAGGCAAGCUUUUGAAUCACAAGCCAAAGAUCAAAUACCGAUUCACCAGUUACAGAUUCAUCGCAUUAAACAUCUUCUCAACUCCUUCAGCCACGAUCUAUUCUUCAAUGUAAAGUUAUCGUCUGCGAGGCCUUGAUCUGCGGGUAUAAAAAGUGCGGUAGAUGUUUCCUCCACCGUCGACGCCAGGUUGCUGCGAUUGUGGGAGGUCAGGAAUGUGAAGCAAAAUCUGAAACCGAAGAAGAUGAAGAACUGAGAUCGUUUGUAAAAAAAUUACAAGCAAGAUGGAGUGUGACAGAGCAAGCGGCGGAGGAGAACGACAAGCGGCGAAGAGUAACACAGCACUCGGCGGUGAGCAACGCAGCACUCAGCGGAGAGAAACGAAGAAAGCGGCGGAGAGUAACGGAGAAAGUAGUGGAAGAGCAACAGAGCAAUGGCGGAGAGCAAUGAACAAGAGGCAUUGAGAUGGAUCAAGUGACGGAAAGAGUGAGAUAUAGGAAAUGCAAUUGCUGCAGUUCAAUCUGGCACAAGGGAGGUUCAUAGGCUCUCGGACAGGGUAAAUUAAUCACUAUGUUAGCAAACAUAUAACAAAGGUACAUGUCCAAUUGUGCUUAUUUCUUUCAAAGUAGAACCUCAUGAAAGAAAGUUGACACCUAUUGAAGAUAUCAAAGCUCUAAACAUGAAAACAUAAGUAAUUUCAAAUUCUAACAACAUAUCAAAUCUGGAAUCUUCUUUGUAUUUGUUCAAAGUUUGUUAUAUGAAUCCUUCUUUGCAUGCCUCUCCACAUGUUCAGUGCAUAUAUCUGUUUGAUAGGGUCAAACUAAUCAACUAUUUAAGGUCUGAAUGUAUCAUGGUACAGUUGUCGUUUCCUUGGCUUCAGACAAGAAAUAGCAAACAAACACACUGUGUGCAUAGCUUGGCGAUUGAAUUGGACUAAAUGGAAAGACUUUGGCCAGUGGAAGACCGAGGAACUAUCAAAAGAAAAAUUUGUAAUGAUACGAGCGUUCUACAUUGCAUUUGUAAAUAAUAAUAUUUUUAGCUUAAGCACGUAUUAGAUGUAGCUCUGUACCUUUCAGUUUGUUUGUUUUUUACUUAAAAGUAAUUUUUCUCUUUAUAUAUCACAGUUAGUGUACCAAA